CCUGUAUCUGUUUGGCAUGUUCUGAAUGGAGUGCGAGGCCCAGGGGUGCUGAGCUCCAAGCAGACACAGCUUAAUUAAUUCAAUAGUCCUGUGCUCUCUGCUUUUUACAAACAAAUAAACAGUUGAUAGGUGUGGAUCCUUUCAUUCACCACCAGAACAAUCCUCUGCCCAGGACAGGGGGAAAAUGCCCUCAUCAGUCAUAGCAAACCAGCACAGUGGUAUUGGGUGGGAAGUGAAAAACACCAUGUCCACUCAAACCUGGAUUUCGUAACACUGGAGGACUGGAAGAGGCAGGGUGCAGGAAUUGCUCCAGGUGAGACCUGGGCUGGCUGCACAGGCAGCGCUUUCUGAAGCUGUAAGCCACCUUCCCAGAACUCCUGGGUCUGGGCACUCAGCUCCAGACCUCUGGCAGAGGUGAGACUGGAACAGAGGCAGUAGCCAAGCCGUGCUUGGCAGGAGCUUGGGGUCCCCUACAGCGCGAGCUCGGGGCUCCAGGCUUGCUUUCCUUCUGCUAGGCCUUUUGUUAAUCUGCUCGCUUUUAUUUCGCAGAGUUGCUGCAGACCCACAGGUGUUCCUGCUGAGAUACAGACGUGGUGGGCAGGGUUUGAGUGCUAGGGUGUGAGGAGGUGAGGGAUCCUCCAGGGAUCCCGUGUUUGUCAGUGAGUCUGUCCCAAGAGCUGCAUCCUGCUGCCCGUGCCCCCAGAUCUUGGUUCCUGGCCCCACAAACCACACAGCUUGCCCAAGUGCCUCCCUUUGUUUCAAACCUUUGGAGCCUGGAGCACUCAUUGAACCUGACCGCGAGUGCAUCUAAGUGGCUGACAAUUAGGAAAUAAAUAUAAUUUGAGGCGGUUUUGGGCAGAAUCCAGUCAAACAUAGAUGGGCUUGUUGCUGUUGUUACCGUAUUGAAUAUUCCUCGUAGUUGUGAUAGUUGUGCUGCGCAGCAGCAUCCCCGACACAGCAAACGGCAUUAUUUCACUGUGCAAAGGCUUCAUUAGUCAAACCAGACAAUGGGCCAGACACAUCCCUUUGAGCCCAGUGCUGGGAUCAUCCAGGCUUUUCACCUUGUCCAAAUGCCUCAUCCUUGUCAAUGCAGGCAGCAGCUCUUCAGAGCCGAUCACUCUGAACUGUGGGACUGACAGGAAAACGUCUAAUUCAGUUAAAAGAAUUCCACAGUUAUUUUAUAUUCACCCUUUAAUUUUUCAUGACUUGUAGAAGCUAAGCUUUUUCAGUCUUUCCAUCUCAUACAUGAGAUCAAUCUGUUCAUUUGUUAAAACACCCAUGAAAGAGCCUGAUAGGUCUGUGUCCUUUAAAGCAGCAGCAAGCACUGAGAUCAAGCAGGAUGGACUGGCCUGGCCAAGCCAUGACCCUGCUGGUGAGAGCUGCAGAGCGGACAGCAGAGAAAAUAGCAUGGCCGUAAAGGUGCCAUUCUCCUGAAAGAGGAUCCUGGCAAAAACAUGGCUUGGCGCAGGGGUGGCAUGCUGGGAACGUGUGGGCGCAGUGUCCCCUUUUCCUUGCUGCAGCACCAUGUACUCCAGAUGCAGAGCUGGUAGCACAACGGGGAGUCUUGAGAGCCCCCGGAGGGAUGGUCUCCAUCUCACAUCUGUGAGGAGGGCAGCUCCUGGUGCCUGUGGUAGAUUCUGCCUUGUGCUGGAUUCUGUCUCCUCAGGUCAGGUUGCAGCUGAGUGGGACCCUGGUUCCCUGGCCAUGGGACCUCAAUGGGCACUUGUGGCACUGAGCUUGGCCGUGUGUUGUGAGCCAUUUCUCCCACUUGCAGUCUGGUCACUGCAGACAUGAAGGACAUACUCCAGAAUGAGCCAAAAUACCCUCUCCUGAACAGAAAUACACCAGAGCUGGUUCAGCUUGAGAAACAGAUGUUGAAGGAGCCAUGGCACAGGGUGCUUCCGAGUGUGAGGUGUAGAUGCUUUCAGGGACAAGGAAACUCAACACUGUCAAUCUCCUCUUUCAUCUUCAGACAGCAGCAGACACUUGAAGGGAGAUGACUCCUCAUGUUUACGGCCUGGUCACAGGAGAGACUGAGGUCCAAAAUCUCCCUGACAUCCUCUCUAUAUGCCUGACCUUGGAACAGCCUCAUUCAUGUCACACCUGCUCCCUUCCACUUGCAGAGCCUCCUGUGCUGCACAGGACACUGGAAAAGCACUUGGAAAUGGCUGGAGAAGGAAGAGGGCUUCCUGGAAAACGGUCUCUAAACCAGGCCCUUCCCUGUGCCGUGGCUUUUCUGGGGCUCAUUAAUAUCAGUGGUAUGUGCUUAUAUCUCAAUUCUCCAGGAUUAAUUAAAAAUCUACAGACAGUGCCAUGCCUAGGGACUUUUCAAUUAUGUCACCAGGCUUUGUCUAUGGCCCAUGCAUUUGUAAUAAACAUGACAUGUUUUUAACUCCUGCAGUCUCCAGGUUUUUGUGUAUUCAGCCAUUGGGUUCUGCAUUCCAGGUUCCUGCUGGAGGAACUCUGUCACUUGCCCCGAGGCAGCAAAUCUGAGACCAGGCAUGGUGUGCGCUGCUUAUGCAUCAGACAUGAGUAAUAACAGGUUUCGAGGAACAGUACCACUUAAUAAAAGCAUUUUAUUACAUUUAAAUGUA